rnacentral:rRNA from 1 species
GUCGAGAAUCUUCCGCAAUGCGCGAAAGCGUGACGGAGCGACACCGCGUGAUGGAUGAAGUCCUUCGGGGCGUAAACAUCUUUUAUAAAGGAGGAAAUUUUUGACGUUACUUUAUGAAUAAGGGGCUCCCAAUCUCGUGCCAGCAGGAGCGGUAAUACGAGAGCCUCAAGCGUUAUCCGGAAUCAUUGGGCGUAAAGGGUGCGUAGGUGGUUUGAUUAGUCUCCCGUUAAAACUUCGAGCUUAACUCGAAAAGAGCGGGGGAAACGGUCAAACGAGAGUAUGUGAGAGGUGUGUGGAACUCAUGGUGUAGGGGUGAAAUCCGUUGAUAUCAUGGGGAACACCAAAAGCGAAGGCAGCACACUGGCACAUCACUGACACUGAGGCACGAAACCUAAGGUAGCGAAUGGGAUUAGAAACCCGGGUAGUCC